UACGGAGGGGGCUAGCGUUGUUCGGAAUUACUGGGCGUAAAGCGCGCGUAGGCGGACCUGCAAGUCGGGGGUGAAAGCCCGAGGCUCAACCUCGGAACUGCCUUCGAUACUGCGGGUCUCGAGUCCGGGAGAGGUGAGUGGAAUUCCUAGUGUAGAGGUGAAAUUCGUAGAUAUUAGGAAGAACACCCGUGGCGAAGGCGGCUUUCUGGGACGGUACUGGACGCUGAGACGCGAAAGCGUGGGUAGCGAACAGG
rnacentral:rRNA from 1 species